rnacentral:rRNA from 1 species
UGGGGAAUAUUGCACAAUGGGCGAAAGCCUGAUGCAGCAACGCCGCGUGAGUGAUGACGGUCUUCGGAUUGUAAAGCUCUGUCUUUGGGGACGAUAAUGACGGUACCCAAGGAGGAAGCCACGGCUAACUACGUGCCAGCAGCCGCGGUAAUACGUAGGUGGCAAGCGUUGUCCGGCUUUACUGGGCGUAAAGGGUGCGUAGGCGGACCUUUAAGUGAGAUGUGAAAUCCCCGAGCUUAACUUGGGGGCUGCAUUUCAAACUGGAGGUCUAGAGUGCAGGAGAGGAGAGUGGAAUUCCUAGUGUAGCGGUGAAAUGCGUAAAGAUUAGGAAGAUCACCAUUGGCGACGGCGACUCUCUGGACUGUAACUGACGCUGAGGCACGAAAGCGUGG